AUUAUAAAGUAUAAUUGAGCAGCAACAUCAUGGAAUCAUGGAACAAUACUUGACUUUCUAGGGGGAAGUGUGAAGGAGUGAAGAGGACAGCGUCCACUGAACUCUCUGGAUUCACUGGAAAGGAGAUAUUUUUCACAGCAGAGCCUUAAUGAAAUCCAAAACAAGAUGAGUCUCAACCUAGGCAACCAAGGAGACCUGAUUACAAGGGACCUGUGAACUUCAUGUUAG
rnacentral:lncRNA from 1 species